GUGUCCUGCAGCUGCAGUGCAACUAAAUAUCAUUAAUAUUUUACAGUUUUGGGGUGAUAAUGGAAAUGCUACUGUAUGGAGUUCUGCUGUUGAUUAUUUCAUGUGUUAGUGGUCAGUCUUUGACCUCCUCAGAUUCUGUGAUAAAAACACCAGGAGAAUCAGUGACUCUGUCCUGCAGUGUGUCUGGAUUCUCAAUGAGCAGCUGGUGGACGGGCUGGAUCCGUCAGAAACCAGGAAGAGGACUGGAAUGGAUUGGGACUAUAGAUAGUGGCACAACUGCAUAUUAUGCUCAGUCUCUUCAAGGCCAGUUCUCCAUCACAAAAGACACCAGCAAAAACAUGCUGUAUUUAGAGGUGAAAAGCCUGAAGACUGAAGACACAGCUGUUUAUUACUGUGCAAGACACUCACAGUUACACAAAAGACUGCAGGGCUGAACAAAAACUAUUCAUGCAUGAAAUCACUGAAGCAAAUUUGCUGCAAACAUCUUCAAGAUUCAAAAUAUUAAUUGUUUAAUGGUAACAUUUCCUGCAACAUUUCCUCAUACACAGCUUCAAAAAUCAAUGUGUAUAAAGGUGGCCAUGAACGGGAUAAUUGUCCAUUAAAUAAAUGUAGAAAUAAAUGAAUUUAUUGAAUUCAGCUGAAGAGUUUGCAGCUAGUCAUAGA